AUUAGACCUAAAGCUCAGCUUCUUCUCAGUGUCAUUUUUCUACCUUUCCUGUAAUUCGCCUUGUGCUGCUGUGGCUCACAGGAGACUAGGACUUACUGCAGAGGUUCUAGUAACGUCCCCUUUCCCUGUUCCCUACAGGCAUCAAGUACUACAGGAGGACUGAGAGAGCGUCUUGCAUGGGCAAAGCAAUGUGUAAAUGCGUGUACGUCCUCUGGAAGGUUCCAGGAUUGUAAUACAUGUCGAAGACUUAGAUCUUGCUCUGGAUGAAAGUCAUCAAGAUGCACAUUUUGUACAGAAAUCCCAUUUUCUAUGGAGUUACUAAAUGUCAUCUGGGUUAAGCUCUAUUUACAGGCUUGCAGAUUUAUAAGACACACAGUAAACACAAAACCAUCAACACUCUGUUUCCUGAAGCCCAGCGAACGGAACAUGUGGAAAACUUCCACGUUCUUUCGGAAAUAUAGAUACACACCUUUGGGCAAAGGACCCAGAACCAGGAGCCUGGACACUUUUACUUUUGAACAAUCCUUUCUCCUCUUUGAGGAGAAGCCCCUGUCCUCCUAAACAGAAGUCUCUUCAGCUACUAAGAUGAUAUUUUUAUGCUUCAACAGGAAGUUUUUUGGGGAAGUAUAGGUUAGUGAUAGUUGGGAUACUUUGAAAUGAACACACCAAUGUGUGAAUAUCGUACUCUUUGGGGUAAAAUGAAGUGAUUGAUUGUGCGAAAGGGCUUGCAGGUUUCAUCAUCUGGAAAGCAGCAUGUGAUUUGCUGAGAAAUUGGAGCAGACGGUUCUAACCUGGCAGUGUUCACUGUGACUCUAUGAACAACUCAUGCCUGCCAAGUGUCAUGCUCAGUGUCGUGUGUGUGUGUGUGUGUGUGUGUGUGUGAAUGUGAAGUGGCCACAAGCAACAAAAACAGUGAAAAAGAUCAAGUUCUUAACUCUCAUAAAGUGACAGUUGCAAGGUGAGUUACUAUAGUGUUUGGCUUUUUGCCUUUGGUUUUGUCCAGCUAGCCCCCAAAUGGCUCAUUUCCCCCAUCAAUUCAGCACCUUCUGCUGGAGUUGACCUAAACCUUGCCAGCUCUCUUCUCUGCCCCUCCCUGCACUGAUUUUCUUGGCACUCUGUUCUUUCAAAUUUCCAGUGUCUUUGGCUUCUUCUCACGAAAUCACAGCCUUGAUCUUUGCCUUUGGCCUGAGCUGUGACUCUAACAAAAUAGGCUGUGUGAGUGUGUGCCUAUCUGAGUGUGUAUACACAUUUCUGUAUGCACUCACCUGUGUCUGUGAGCACAUAUGUGCAUGUGCUCCAUGCAUGUGUGAAUGUUUGUUCCUGUGCCUGCAUGUAUGUGUAGUCAAGUGCAUUCCUAGCAAUUUGAACACUGAAAAGCACGCCCCACCCCCCACCCCCCAGCA